AUUUAUAGUCGUGUAAUUUUCUUUUUCAGGAGUUGUGUAGCCUUAAUUUUACGUGUCUUGAUUCAUCAAUCUCCAUUGCAAAGGCUCUCUGAGAAGACGAAAGAAUGUUACAAAGGCGAUUAUUAUUGUUCAGCCUUGGAUUGUCUGUUGUGCAUUCCCAAUGUGAUUUGAAGAAGGUGUUGACCUCUCACAUGGAGCGCGAAAUUCGUUUUCUGGAAGACAGAAUAAGAGACUCUCGUAAAGAAUCAUCUUCUUCUUUAAUUCCAGCCGCUAUGUCUUGUUUGAAGAAUCUGUUGAUUUCUCACAUGGAGCGUGAAGUUCGCUUUCUCGAAGCCAGAGUCCGAGUCUCCAAUCAACAAUCAUUUCCUUUUAUUCCAUCCUUAAUAAGUUGAAGGCUAGAUAACACUUUCAGCUCCAGUGAAAUGAUUUCGAUUAGCUAGGUUCUAAGGGAUUCAUGCUUGAUUCCACAUCUCUAUUAAGAGAACUAUUUUAUGGAUGGUAUGCGCCAUCCUUAUCAUUUAUUAUUUCUGUUCAACAAGACUUUUGAGUUAAAGUAGUGAUUAUUAAACUCAAAAGAAAAUAAUUUCCAAACUUUUGGAGAAAAUAGUUUUAUUUUAUCUUAAUUAGUUUUUAUUUUAUUGCUACAAACAUUAUAAAUAUAUUGUGUUGGUAGUCAAAUAAAAAAUAUAACUCUUGCAGUUUAUUUCACUCCAAAA